rnacentral:miRNA from 1 species
AAAACCGUCUAGUUACAGUUGU